AAUCAAACAUAAAUAAGACAGAGAGAGAAGCCUCUUCCUCUCUUCUCUUCCAGCAAGGUUUGGAGACAGCAGACUCCCGCAGCUGGUCUCACUCCUGUGGGGGAGCUGAGGCCUGGUCAGGCCUACAGGACCUGUUGUUUCUGCCGAUCCGGGGUCCGGUAGCGUGGCGGUGGCGUUUGGUGUGAUUGUGCCAUCUCAAGGAAAUGAAAGGUUCCAAUGCACAAUGACAUGUUAUUGAGCAACACUGAACUCCAUACCGAGUGCCUAGGAGAGCCUGGGAGAAGAUAGACAGAAAUCAAGAAAAAAAGAGGAGCCAUGUGACAGAAGAGGAACCCCAUCUGUUA